CACUUACAACACAUUCGCCAGACUCGCUACACUGGAUGCUUUAGACUUAAUCUAAGAAAAAACUACGGACUCUACACCGGCACCAGUACUCGUGCAGAAGAAUCUAUUUAUAAUUUAACUUAUUUGAUAUUUAUUUGUCCAUUAAAGAAUAUUCAAAGAAAA